GUCGAGUCGAACGCUCGUCGCCGUCCCCCUUCCUUCCUCACCUCGACCAAAUAGGAGCGGCAAUGGCCAUGGCCACCCCCGCCUUCCUCCUACCAGCGCUGUUCCCCAAGCCCAAUUUCCUCGCCGCACCUCUCCAUCCAAGUCUCCCACGAGGCCGCCAACUCCGCUGCUCGCCCAACGGCGCCGCCGUGCCGGAAUCCCCUAAACCCGCUUCUCGCCGCGGCCGCAAGAAGUCCCCGUCCCCGUCCCCGUCCCCGUCGGCGCCGAAGGCGAAGGCCACGAGGCGGAGAACCAAGAAGGAGGGCCAGGAGUCAGACUCGGAGGGCCAAGAGGAGCCGGCGAAGCGGACCAGCCGCCGGACAAGGAAGUCCAAGGAAGAGACCAAGCAGGAGGAGAUUGUGGCGCAGAUGGCGAGCGACGGAACUGAGGAGACGAGUCAAGAGUCCGAGGAGGAGGAUGGGUUGGAGGUGGGGGGCGACUACGACGACGCGGAGGAUUUCGCGAACGAUUGGCCUCCGCUGGUGUGCUGCUUCGGCGCGCCGCGUUGGGAGUUCGUGCCCACGGUGCGGGUGUCGGACCGGCAGAUGCACCCCGAUCAGUACUCCACGUGGCUGCACCUGCAAUGGGAGCCGCCGGAGUUCGCGCGCGCGCCGGGUAGCGCGGCGAGCAACGUGGCCAUCGCGCACACCCGGCUCGGAGGGCGCGCCGCGGUGCUGGGCAAGGUCGGGGACGACGACUUCGGCCGCGAGCUUGUGUACCGUAUGAACUGCGAGCGGGUACAGACACGCGCCAUCAAGUUCGACGGCAAAGCAGCCACGGCCAUGGCGCGCAUGAAGGUGAGCUUCCGGGACCGGGAGGAUGGCAAGGGCGGCACCAAGCUUGUGGCCGAGACGGUGAAGAGCGCUGCCGAGGACUCCCUCCGCAAGAACGAGAUCAAUGUCGAUGUGUUGAAAGAGGCCAGAAUGUUCCAUUUCAGUUCAGAAGUUCUGUUAAAUCCCUCAAUGCAUGAUACACUCUUCAGAGCCAUUGAAAUGUCCAAGAAAUUUGGAAGUAAAGUAUUCUUCGAUCUGAAUUUGCCAUUGCCAUUGUGGACAUCAAGGGAUGAGACAAAGGAGGUGAUAAAUAGGGCAUGGAAAGAGGCUGAUAUAAUAGAGCUGUCAAGGGACGAGCUUGAAUUCCUCCUUGAUCAUGAGUAUUAUGAAUACAAGAGAAGGACUCCACCUCAGUAUUAUCUGGAAGGAUUCCAUUUUACAAGAAACUGGCCACAGUACUACCACUACAGCCCUGAAGAGAUCGCUCCUAUUUGGCAUGAUGGAAUAAAGGUCCUGCUUGUGACCUACGGGACACUUCGGAUCCACUACUACACGCCCAAGUUUCAUGGCUGUGUGGUUGGGACAGAGGAUGCACUCAUAACUCCAUACACCACUGACCGAACAGGUUCUGGGGAUGCUGUUGUUGCUGCUGCUAUUAGGAAGUUGAUAACUUGUCCUGAGAUGUACGAGGACCAGGAUACAUUGGAGAGGCAACUGAGAUUUGCUGUUGCUGCUGGAAUCAUAUCACAGUGGACAAUUGGUGCUGUGCGAGGGUUUCCCACUGAGAGUGCCGCCCAGAACUUGAAGGAACAAGUCUAUGUGCCUUCUAUGUGGUGAAAUGGUAAAUCAUUUGCCAAGACAUGAACAACAUAUUAAAUACAAGCAUACUUCAAGAAUGGUCUAACAGAAUUGAACAAGGGAUUUUUUUUUCUUUUACCACAAGAGAGCUACAGGCGCAAUUUAUAUGCACGGAUUGCUCAGGUCUAUGGUUGCUUUAGUUAGGCGGCAGAAAGGCAGGGUCCUUGCUUCAAAUUGUCAAAUCUGCAACAAACUCUUUUUUGCCCGUAGCACUACUAGGGUACUUCGUGGGGUAGGAUGGGUUGAUGCAAACUCUCACUUUAUGUCCAUUCAUUUUUAGCUCUUGUUUUCAUUCUCUCUUUAUUUCUUCUUUUUUGAAGACUCAUGUAGAAUUUUGGAGGUUUAAGGAUUAGGUAGCGUUAGGAAACACCAAAAUUUUGUCCACGCGCAGGAUUCUGAUCUUCUCUGGAUAUGUGUCUUGACUCUCCAAUGGCAACUUGUCUGUAGUCUCAUGAUGUAACUGUCAGCACUGUAGCUUGCCAGCUUGUUUAUCAUCUGCUUGUUCUGCCUAUGCAUGUACGAUUUUGAACAACUGUUUUACAAUAACUCGUGAUUUGUAAAACAACUUUGCAACCAGGAGGGCAAAAUCUCAAGUGGUGGUUGACUUAUUAAUCAAGUGGUCAAAAGCACCUGGUUGUAGCGAAGUUGUACAAAAAAAUUGUAUGUCAACUUGUCAAGUAUUUCCUUUCAGGAAAUAUGAACUUCUGUGGAACACAUAUCAAUAUUAUUUCACUUAAAAUUUGUAA